GGAGAGGUGGCUGAGCGGUUGAAAGCACCGGUCUUGAAAACCGGCAGGGGUUCACGCCCCUCGUGGGUUCAAAUCCCACCCUCUCCGCCA
rnacentral:tRNA from 1 species